CUUUUUCCAAUUAACACAGCGCAAUUAUUCAUAGGCCUAACGGCAAGCAAAUCCACGAAGUAGAGGCCCAGGAUUGGCCACGGAACGGAAGCCUCAAUUCACCCAGAUUUCAUGUCUACGCACAAAACUGGCCCAUUUGGCGCGCCAUAAAGAGGCCAGCCCGUGUCCAUCGCGAUCAGCUUAGGCCAUCCGGCGAGCCCACUCCGGCCACAGCCUUCCUCGUCGCCUCCGGUCUUCAUCGGCGGGCGGCCGCCGGCAAAUGCCACCCCAAGUUCCCAGCGUCCGAGCCAGCUGGCCCAGCGCCGCCACCAAGGCGUCGCCCGCCGGAGGGACAACCCGCAAGUUCAUCCCUCCUUGCCGGUCUCGUCUCCCUCCACGGCCGUCCCGAUUGACGACGAGUGAUGAAAGGCUACAUCGCCGUAGAAGUUCUGAACCGUAAUCUGGACAGCAGUUUUGAUCUUCACUGCAUGGUGCUCAUAUGGCUCUCCUUAGGCGUUGAAGGCAGGGAGCGAGGGAGCGGUGGAUUGAUGCCGAUUUUGGGUCCUGGUUUGCGUGACAAGCUGAUAAGCUGGUUAGGAAGAGUGAAAGGCCAUUGUUUAUAGGAAGAGUGAAAGGCUAUUGUACAGUACAAAUUAUAGAGGCAAGUUUCUCUUCGGCAGCUUGAGAAAUGACAGAAGCAUAGCAUGCAAAUGGAAAAAAAAACAGUUCCUGUGGGAUAACUUGCAUUUUUUGCUGAAAUCAUAAAUUCUAUUUGCCUGUCCAUAUCCUGUGUAUUACUGCUGGAAUUUUGAUGUGUUUUAGGCUUACGUUCCACCAGGCCCCUAUCGGGUUCCUUUUAAAAUGUUAUUGUUUGAGAUAAAACAGUACCCAAAAAUGUAGUAAAUAUCAGGUUAAAUAUGUACGACUUAUUUUAUUUUUUUUUCAUUUCAGUUCCAAGCUACAGAGACAAUAACUCAGAUCACUGUAUUACAAUGCGCAAAUAGCCCAUCUCCAGUAUUUUUUUUAAUCAUCUCAGUUUUAACAGGCAAUACUAUCCUUCGUUCACAGGUCAUAUGUUUCAUCAGUGUAAAGGUGUAACCAUUUGGGGAUUAGUAGUUCCAUUAUCUUCUUC